GACGAACGCUGGCGGCGUGCCUAAUACAUGCAAGUAGGACGCAGUUGCGAACGGGUGAGUAACGCGUAGGUAACUACCUAUUAGAGGGGGAUAACUAUUGGAAACGAUAGCUAAUACCGCAUACUAGAAGAUGGACAUGCGUUGUAUUAGCUAGUAGGUAGGGUAAUGGCCUACCUAGGCAACGAUACAUAGCAGACCUUAGAGUGGGAUCGGCCACACUGUGACUGAGCCACUGCCCAGACUCCUACGUGAGGCAGCAGUAGGGAAUCUUCGGCAAUGUGGGGAACCCUGACCAAGCAACGCCGCGUGAGUGAAGAAGGUUUUCGGAUCGUAAAGCUCUGUUGUUAAGGAAGCGGUACUUAACCAGAAAGGGACGGCUAACUACGUGCCAGCAGCCGCGGUAAUAC
rnacentral:rRNA from 1 species